UCCGGAGCCGGAUGUAGGUGGGCUAUAAGGAACGAGGGUAGCUAUGAAGCCGGCGGUGGACGAGAUGUUUCCCGAGGGUGCGGGGCCCUAUGUCGACCUUGACGAGGCUGGAGGAAGUACAGGUUUAUUGAUGGAUCUAGCAGCUAAUGAAAAGGCAGUACAUGCAGAUUUCUUUAAUAAUUUUGAAGAUAU